rnacentral:rRNA from 1 species
AGCGAACGCUGGCGGCAGGCUUAACACAUGCAAGUCGAACGCAUCACUUCGGUGGUGAGUGGCAGACGGGUGAGUAACACGUGGGAACGUACCCUUCGAUCUGGGAUAACUUCGGGAAACUGGAGCUAAUACCGGAUACGCCCUUUUGGGGAAAGGUUUACUGUCGAAGGAUCGGCCCGCGUCUGAUUAGCUAGUUGGUGGGGUAACGGCCUACCAAGGCGACGAUCAGUAGCUGGUCUGAGAGGAUGAUCAGCCACACUGGGACUGAGACACGGCCCAGAAUCCUACGGGAGGCAGCAGUGGGGAAUAUUGGACAAUGGGCGCAAGCAUGAUCCAGCCAUGCCGGGUGAGUGAUGAAGGCCUUAGGGUUGUAAAGCUCUUUUGUCCGGGACGAUAAUGACGGUACCGGAAGAAUAAGCCCCGGCUAACUUCGUG